rnacentral:rRNA from 1 species
AUGAAUGGUUCGCCACAAGAUACUGCAACAACAGUCUCCCGGACAGCCCACGGAAUGGGGACACUCCCAUUUGGCGAUGCCUGCAAUCAACAAUUCAGCUUGUCAUACAAUCUACCAGGUGCGUUUUGGGGGACGGAUCUAGAAUCUCUUUUUGGAAGGAUUUGUGGCUUGCUUGCGGAAGGCUUGAGUUCUCCUUCCCAGUGCUUUUCUCGUUUGCCCGAAACAAGAGCUGCUCGGUUGCCUCUCAGUUCAAUGCUGGAAUUUGGGACAUCAAACUACAUCCGAACCUCACUACCGCAGCCAACAAGAGAGUUGCAAGCUCUAUAUGACAUCUUGACCGGCAUCCAACGUGUGGACGAUCAGGCAGAUUCCCGGAGGCCAAUCUGUUUGUACAACAAGCCUACAACACACUUCUUUUAUGAGAUGCUCACGUUUAAAGGAAUUCAGUGCCCAUUGAAGAACAAGAUCUGGGACAGUCUUAUUCCGAAUAAACACAAAGUUUUCCUCUAG